rnacentral:ncRNA from 2 species
AUUCGUUCUCAGGGCGGGGUGUAAUUCCCCACCGGCGGUAAGGGGGAGACCUCAAGCCCGCGAGCGCCCCACCUCAUGUUGGGGGUCAGCAGAUCCGGUGUGAUUCCGGAGCCGACGGUCAUAGUCCGGAUGAAAGAGAACGGGA